AGAGUUUGAUCCUGGCUCAGAACGAACGCUGGCGGCAGGCUUAACACAUGCAAGUCGAACGCCCCGCAAGGGGAGUGGCAGACGGGUGAGUAACGCGUGGGAAUCUACCGUACCCUACGGAAUAACGCAUGGAAACGUGUGCUAAUACCGUAUACGCCCUUCGGGGGAAAGAUUUAUCGGGGUAUGAUGAGCCCGCGUUGGAUUAGCUAGUUGGUGGGGUAAAGGCCUACCAAGGCGACGAUCCAUAGCUGGUCUGAGAGGAUGAUCAGCCACAUUGGGACUGAGACACGGCCCAAACUCCUACGGGAGGCAGCAGUGGGGAAUAUUGGACAAUGGGCGCAAGCCUGAUCCAGCCAUGCCGCGUGAGUGAUGAAGGUCUUAGGAUUGUAAAGCUCUUUCACCGAUGAAGAUAAUGACGGUAGUCGGAGAAGAAGCCCCGGCUAACUUCGUGCCAGCAGCCGCGGUAAUACGAAGGGGGCUAGCGUUGUUCGGAAUUACUGGGCGUAAAGCGCACGUAGGCGGAUAUUUAAGUCAGGGGUGAAAUCCCGCAGCUCAACUGCGGAACUGCCUUUGAUACUGGGUAUCUCGAGUAUGGAAGAGGUGAGUGGAAUUCCGAGUGUAGAGGUGAAAUUCGUAGAUAUUCGGAGGAACACCAGUGGCGAAGGCGGCUCACUGGUCCAUUACUGACGCUGAGGUGCGAAAGCGUGGGGAGCAAACAGGAUUAGAUACCCUGGUAG
rnacentral:rRNA from 1 species